UUUUUAUUUUUUAUUUAUUUAAUCUCUUCUAAAAGGUAAUUCCAAAACCACAUGAUAUACAUUGCCAAAAAGCGCAAAUAAAAUUACACAUAAUAAUAAAUCUUACGUAAAUUUAUGGUUAUUGUCAAACAAACACAGACUAAAAAAAGAAAGGGUUUUCUUAGCAUAUGAAAAAAAGCUAUUAUACGUUAUUGAUAGCACCAAUAUGUCUGUCCCUGCUAUAAUAGGUCUUUCUCCUGUUAUAGCUAUUAUUACUGCUGAUUCGUGACGCCACCACCACCGACUUGUCACACCGGCCACCUUCUCAGAUCUGGAAACAAAAAUAAACAUUAAUCAAUCUAAAAACAUAUAUAGUAGAAGAGAAGAAACAAAAAAAAAACAUUAACUCUCACCAUCACAAACACAUCAGAUCCAUGAGCCGGCAUAUAAAAGGAGAAAGAAAUGAAAAAAAAAUGGAGAUUUGGGAAGAAUCUCCCUCCUCUCUGUUAGGCUAGAUUGACGGCGAGCUUCUUGAGAAGAUGGUGUGACGGCGAGC
rnacentral:lncRNA from 1 species